UUUUUACACAUAGGUUUUCCGAAUUAAUUGAAUAACUGACCCGUGUGGUUUGAAAGUGGCCUAACUCCAUUUAUAGUUACAUCAAGGUAUUUACUAUUGAUAAUGUCGGAAAGCAGCGAUGAAGAAAUUAUUGCACCCAUGAGGAAGAACCGAAGAAGACCACUUAGUUCAGAUAGUGAAAAAGAAAUAGUAAUUAAUAAAAAAAAAGCGAAUAAGAAAAAGAGUUAUAAAACAAUAUUCCUCGUCAGAGGAUGAAGAUUCAAAUAACAAUGGAGAAAAGAUUGAUGCACCAUAUAUCCAAAAAGUGCGAAAGAUAAAACGGAAUUCAGGAAAAAGAUAUUGCAGUUAAACCGGAAGUAUUGUUCAUGAAAAAAAUUUCGAAAACAAAGAUUGUGGUUGUCGGAAUGCGUGCACAAAAAAUUAUAAUGAAGAAGAAAGAAAGAAUAUUUUUGAGAAGUUUUGGGGUUUGGCAGAUUUUAACAAACAAAAUGUAUUACUUCACGAAGCUGUCUGUGAAACGAAGACGUUUUUUUUCUUCAAUUUGAAACAUCUUAAAUUAUGUUGAAUGGA